rnacentral:rRNA from 3 species
GGGGAACCCGUGAGUAAUUUUUGAGUAACCUGCCCUUGACUCUGGGAUAAGCCUGGGAAACUGGGUCUAAUACCGGAUAUGACCUUCCAUCGCAUGGUGGUUGGUGGAAAGCUUUUGUGGUUUUGGAUGGACUCGCGGCCUAUCAGCUUGUUGGUGGGGUAAUGGCCUACCAAGGCGACAACGGGUAGCCGGCCUGAGAGGGUGACCGGCCACACUGGGACUGAGACGCGGCCCAGACUCCUACGGGAGGCAGCAGUGGGGAAUAUUGCACAAUGGGCGCAAGCCUGAUGCAGCGACGCCGCGUGAGGGAUGACGGCCUUCGGGUUGUAAACCUCUUUCAGUAGGGAAGAAGCCGUGAGGUGACGGUACCUGCAGAAGAAGCGCCGGCUAACUACGUGCCAGCAGCCGCGGUAAUACGUAGGGCGCAGGCGUUAUCCGGAAUUAUUGGGCGUAAAGAGCUCGUAUGCGGUUUGUCGCGUCUGCCGUGAAAGUCCGGGGCUCAACUCCGGAUCUGCGGUGGGUACGGGCAGACUAGAGUGAUGUAGGGGAGACUGGAAUUCCUGGUGUAGCGGUGAAAUGCGCAGAUAUCAGGAGGAACACCGAUGGCGAAGGCAGGUCUCUGGGCAUUAACUGACGCUGAGGAGCGAAUGCAUGGGGAGCGAACAGGAUUAGAUACCCUGGUAGUCCAUGCCGUAAACGUUGGGCACUAGGUGUGGGGGACAUUCCACGUUUUCCGCGCCGUAGCUAACGCAUUAAGUGCCCCGCCUGGGGAGUACGGCCGCAAGGCUAAAACUCAAAGGAAUUGACGGGGGCCCGCACAAGCGGCGGAGCAUGCGGAUUAAUUCGAUGCAACGCGAAGAACCUUACCAAGGCUUGACAUGAACCGGACCGGGCUGGAAACAGUCUUUCCCCUUGUGGGCUGGUUUACAGGUGGUGCAUGGUUGUCGUCAGCUCGUGUCGUGAGAUGUUGGGU